rnacentral:rRNA from 1 species
UACGAGGGGGGCGAGCGUUGUUCGGAAUUAUUGGGCGUAAAGGGUGCGUAGGCGGUUUGGUAAGUCUGAUGUGAAAUCUAUGGGCUCAACUCAUAGUCUGCAUCGGAAACUGCCGGGCUUGAGUGUGGGAGAGGUGAGUGGAAUUCCUGGUGUAGCGGUGAAAUGCGUAGAUAUCAGGAGGAACACCGAUGGCGAAGGCAGAUCUCUGGGCCGUAACUGACGCUGAGGAGCGAAAGCAUGGGGAGCGAACAGG